rnacentral:rRNA from 1 species
AGUGAACGCUGGCGGUAGGCCUAACACAUGCAAGUCGAACGGCAGCACAGGAGAGCUUGCUCUCUGGGUGGCGAGUGGCGGACGGGUGAGGAAUACAUCGGAAUCUACUCUGUCGUGGGGGAUAACGUAGGGAAACUUACGCUAAUACCGCAUACGACCUACGGGUGAAAGCAGGGGAUCCUCGGACCUUGCGCGAUUGAAUGAGCCGAUGUCGGAUUAGCUAGUUGGCGGGGUAAAGGCCCACCAAGGCGACGAACCGUAGCUGGUCUGAGAGGAUGAUCAGCCACACUGGAACUGAGACACGGUCCAGACUCCUACGGGAGGCAGCAGUGGGGAAUAUUGGACAAUGGGCGCAAGCCUGAUCCAGCCAUACCGCGUGGGUGAAGAAGGCCUUCGGGUUGUAAAGCCCUUUUGUUGGGAAAGAAAUCCAGCUGGCUAAUACCCGGUUGGGAUGACGGUACCCAAAGAAUAAGCACCGGCUAACUUCGUGCCAGCCGCCGCCGUAA